UUCGUAGGUGGUGCGGCAAGUUGGAAGUGAAAUCUCUGGGCUUAACCCAGAGGCUGCUUUCAAAACUGCCGCGCUCGAGUGCGAGAGAGGUCAGUGGAAUUGCAGGUGUAGCGGUGAAAUGCGUAGAUAUCUGCAGGAACACCCGUGGCGAAGGCGGCUGACUGGAUCGCAACUGACACUGAGGAACGAAAGCUAGGGGAGCAAACAGGAUUAGAUGCCCUGGUAGUCCUAGCCCUAAACCAUCAGAACUUGGGGUGGCCCGCGUAGGCGGGUCGUCCCGUAGCUAACGCGUUAAGUUCUGCGCCUGGGGAGUACGGUCGCAAGACUGAA
rnacentral:rRNA from 1 species